rnacentral:rRNA from 1 species
AUGUGUCCACACACCACAGUGUCAUUGCAGUCGCGCGCUUUAUGUAUGCUCAUUAAUUCAUACACUUGCACUUGGCACGCGUUAGCCGGUUCUCAACUUCUGUUCCACUUCCGCGCCGGCGAGGAGCGCUGUCCGUCGAUGGGGGCCGCGGCUACGUCGGCCAACUCCGAGACAGCAGCCACGCGCGUGCAUGACGGUCUCGUUGGCUGCGAUGGCACGGGGUACCACGGGGAGAGCUUACCGCCGCCGGCGUCAAAUCCGGACGGCCUGCGGCGCCGGGCGGCGAAGGAGAGGAUAAGGGAGCGGAUACUGCGCGAGGAGGUGGAGGCGAUGGCGCUCGAGUUCGAAGUCCGGCGUGAGCUCAUGGAAGAGCGCGCCAGUUUGCUCGCGCGGUUGGCCGGCGGGUCGGAAACUAGGGCAGCGCCGGCGGUGCCAUCGCUGAAGACGGCGCCGAUCGAUCACCAGUGUGUGCAGGUUGGAUCCAAAGUAGACGUGUCUGCGGCCGUGCCAGCCAACAAGAGGAAAACCCCUCAUGUCGCUGCUGCAUCCGUUUCGGUGGCCACUGGCAGCAAGAAGCACAAGCCUGAUCUGACUUGCACGGUGUGCAACAUCACGGCAACCAGUGAGGUUGCCCUGCAAGAGCACCUCAGAGGGAAGAGCCACGUGAGGAAGGCCGGUAAACAUGCGCAGCCUCACCCAGAGGAGGAUGUGGUAAUAAAAUACAUCAUAUAUAUACACUACCGGAACAGGGUGCUACCCCGACGGCCAAAACAAUGCCGACGGCCACCGUCGGGUUCCUCGGAGAUAUGCCGACAGCCUGGUCCUGGCCGUCAGCGUAUCCAGGCCGUCGGGUUAGACGGAGCUAAGCCGACGGCACCCAUCGGCAUAGAACGGCCGUCGGCCUAUCUGCAAGUACGCCGACAGCUGCCGUCGGCUUACAAGGGCCAUCGGCAUAGUGGUGGGCCCGGCGACCCCGCUGUUGACGGGCGGCUAACGUCGUCAGAGCUAUGCCGACGGCCGAGGCGGGGGGCCGUCGGCAUAGGUCCGCACGCCACGUCACUGAUCCGGGCCGCACCGUCCAAAACAUAUGCCGACGGCUGCCGUCGGCAUACCUGCCAUGUCAGCGAUCCGCGGCACGCCGCCCGCCGCCUAAAACCUGGCCGUCUCUAUGCCGACGGCAUAGCUGUCGGCAUAGGUAGACUUUUUUUUUCAUAUAUAUAUUUUUAA